rnacentral:ncRNA from 18 species
AGAGAACGCAGAGGGACUGCGGGAAGCUGUUCAGAAAAGUAUUUUCAGUGUUUCUGAAGGAUUCCCACGGUUGAGAAGGUUAAAACCUGACUCUUUGAACCUGUCAGUUAAUACUGUCGUAGGGAGCGGAAGAUAUGUGUAA